rnacentral:lncRNA from 1 species
AUGAUUCUCCAAGUUCUCUUUCUCCUACUGUGGCACCUACUGACAAGAUAAAUGUGUAGAGGUUCCUGAGUCUAGGGGCACUGGAACCAGCUGACUGAUCUAUGGAAGUUCCCUUGGUCUCCAUUUGUUUAGAAAAGCUGCAAUAAAGCAUAACCAGGAGUACAACAGAUUUCAAUUUCUGUGAGUCCUUCUAGCAAAUUGCCAAAACUGAAGAUGGCUUUGGGAACAUCCAAAGUUAUACCAGAGCUUUCAUGGUGAAAGAAGAGGGCAAAACUCAACCCGUCUCUUUAGACUUGGGAAGAAUAUGAAAGGACCAGGAGGGACACCUUUCCUAAUAACCUAGCUGAUGGUUCACUUAUUAGGCUGGAAAGCUGAAAAAUGACAUUCCCAGACUCCAUUGAAAUUAGAUUUCCAGAGAGUUGUCUCACUAAGCCCAAAUUUGUCUAACUGGCCUUAUUUCCCUGGAGUAUAUCCUGGAAGUUUCCAUUCAAGCCAAUUUAAGUUACUUUAAAUUAGGAAAGGCAGAAAACAAAAGCCCAAACCUUUGUAAAGGAGGAGGAUUUGCUACAUUGUUCUCAAUUCAUCACAGAAGAGGAUGAAACUGAGUGAUUACACUUGCUGGAGAGAAA